GCACCGUAGAAGCACUUACGGCGUCAAGAGCUUCCGUUUGAACCGAUCAGUUUCAGAUUCUAUGCUGUUCCGUACCUCAAGAGCAUAGUCUUUUAAGAGAUUGGUGGUGAGCUAUUCUGUUCAAACUGUGAACGUUCGUUCACUUUAUAAGAAGGAGACAUAUUGCUGGAAGAGAUGCGGGAAGAGGAAAAUCUGGUCGAGGUUGAAGUGAAGACCGAACAAUAGGACGUUCGGUUAGUACUUUAGUUUGUAUAGUAAGGUGGUCGUUCGAUCACCCUUCCUUUUGUUUAGAACGACCGUUCGGUAGUUCUUUUGUAAACCGAUCAGUCGGGAGUGUA